AAGUCGUAACAAGGUUUCCGUAGGUGAACCUGCGGAAGGAUCAUUAUUGAAUAACACUCGAUGGGUUGUAGCUGGUCCCUUGGGGCAAUGUGCACACCUGUCUUGAUUCUAUUCAUCCACCUGUGCACCAUUUGUAGUCUGUGAGGGCUGAGAACAGUUGAAUCAUCGGUCAAGCGGCCGGAUGAGAGGUUUGCGUGCAUGUGAAUGCAGCUCUGCUCAGCUACUCAUCAGUGACCUCCCUCAUAGUCUAUGUCUUUUUAUCACAAACCAAUGUAUGUUCCAGAAUGUCAUCAAUGGGCCUUUGUUGCCUAUAAAACUAUAUACAACUUUCAGCAACGGAUCUCUUGGCUCUC
rnacentral:misc_RNA from 1 species